rnacentral:rRNA from 1 species
CGGCGAGUGAAGCGGCAAGAGCUCAAAUUUGAAAUCUGGCCUCCUCCGGGGGUCCGAGUUGUAAUUUGUAGAGGAUGCUUCGGGUGCGGCCGCCGUCUAAGUUCCUUGGAACAGGACGUCAGAGAGGGUGAGAAUCCCGUCUUGGGCGGCCGGUCCGCGCCCGUGUGAAGCUCCUUCGACGAGUCGAGUUGUUUGGGAAUGCAGCUCUAAGCGGGUGGUAAAUUUCAUCUAAAGCUAAAUACUGGUCGGAGACCGAUAGCGCACAAGUAGAGUGAUCGAAAGGUUAAAAGCACCUUGAAAAGGGAGUUAAACAGCACGUGAAAUUGUUGAAAGGGAAGCGCUUGCGGCCAGACUCGGGGGCGGGGUUCAGCGGGCGCUCGUCGCCCGUGCACUCCCCGUCUCCCGGGCCAGCAUCAGUUUCGACGGCCGGUCAAAGGCCCCCGGAAUGUGUCGUCUCUCGGGACGUCUUAUAGCCGGGGGUGCAAUGCGGCCCGUCGGGACUGAGGAACGCGCUCCGGCUCGGAUGCUGGCGUAAUGGCCGUAAGCGGCCCGUCUUGAAACACGGACCAAGGAGUCUAACAUCCACGCGAGUGUUCGGGUGUCAAAACCCGUGCGCGCAGUGAAAGCGAACGGAGGUGGGAGCCUCAGGGCGCACCAUCGACCGAUCCUGAAGUCUUCGGAUGGAUUUGAGUAGGAGCGUGGCCGUUGGGACCCGAAAGAUGGUGAACUAUGCCUGAAUAGGGUGAAGCCAGAGGAAACUCUGGUGGAGGCUCGCAGCGGUUCUGACGUGCAAAUCGAUCGUCAAA